rnacentral:tmRNA from 1 species
GGGGCUGUACUGGUUUCGACGGGGAGUUCAAAGUUUGAGAUGCAUGUCGUGCCUGAAUGAUGCACGUAAAUCUUUAUUUCAAUUUUGUUAUAGUUGCAAACGACGAUAACUACUCUCUAGCAGCUUAGGCCGCUAGUGCAGCUCAGGCAAGUUGUCUAUGGCCCCUGAUCGCUGUAUCAUCUUACAUAGAACCGUGUUAAGUGCGUGUUUGGGUAUUUAGCAUCAAAUUAACAAACUCGCCGAAUGUGAUCCCUGCUGGCCGGGUAGCAUUAGGGUUAAAUUAAUAGACCAAAUAAGCAUGUAGAUUUUUAGAUGGCGGCUUCGCGGACGGGGGUUCGACUCCUCCCAGCUCCACCA